UACGUAGGGGGCAAGCGUUGUCCGGAUUUAUUGGGCGUAAAGAGCUCGUAGGCGGUUUGUCGCGUCUGCUGUGAAAACCGGAGGCUCAACCUCCGGCCUGCAGUGGGUACGGGCAAACUAGAGUGCGGUAGGGGAGAUCGGAAUUCCUGGUGUAGCGGUGAAAUGCGCAGAUAUCAGGAGGAACACCGGUGGCGAAGGCGGAUCUCUGGGCCUGUUCUGACGCUGAGGCGCGAAAGCUAGGGGAGCAAACAGG
rnacentral:rRNA from 1 species